GAUUUUCUCUCUUUUUGAUUAUAAAGUGAUGUCUGCCACUUUCCUUACCUGUGGAGGCUCCUUUGACAAAGAAAGCCUUUAACAUGAGGAUGGGAAGAAGAACUUACAUAAAUGGCUCCUCAUUUAAACUGAACAGAGUAUGAAGUCAAGAAUAUCAGUGUUUCUUCUGCCAGUAGUAUUAGGUGUGAAGAUGGCCAGGAUGAAUCUGGGGACUAUCCUUCAAGAGCCUGUGGAAUAUGUGGAACUGUGGAACAGCUCUGGGCUGUUCCUCUCCUUGACAGCAUUGCUCCCGCACAGGGGUCACAGCCUUCAUUUUGCAGGUGCAUAUGGACACAGGAAGCAUUACCUCAUCGCUCCGGUUUGGCAUUGGAUGGGCAGAAGCAGAGGAGGAGCUGGGAAAACUGACAUCCUAGACAGACAAAAAAAGUUGGACUGGGUAAAAAAAGUUGGAUUCUGCCAGCUUCUUGCUGUGGUCUGUUAACAGCUGCCUAGGCACAGGACUCUUCUCCUGCAAGUCCUCUGCAGAUACAGAACCAAUGGUUCUGUGUGCUAAAUGCCUGGAGCAGUUAUUUUCAUACUUUGUCCAUGUCUAUGUUCAAUUAAACCUGCAUCUCGUUAUACUGCUACCUACUGUGUUCUUUUCACAUAUUGGCCAAAAUCUGCUCUUCAAAUCUCCUGAUUAAGGAAGUUUGCAUGAAAACAACUGGUGAAUGCAGUUCUUCCCUUUUUGGACUGAGGUCAGGGCUCAGGAGGUAUUUCUGCUGCGCCUUGAAACCCUAGUGCACGCUCCCGGAUUGAUAAUAAGUAUGCUGAACACCACCAGACCAAGUUCAUCUGCUGCCGAGGAGAGGAGCUGCAC
rnacentral:lncRNA from 1 species